GACGGGACCGCACAAGCGGUGGAUGAUGUGGUUUAAUUCGAUGCAACGCGAAAACCUUACCCACCUUUGACAUGGCAGGAAUCCCGAAGAGAUUUGGGAGUGCUCGAAAGAGAACCUGCACACAGGUGCUGCAUGGCUGUCGUCAGCUCGUGUCGUGAGAUGUUGGGUUAAGUCCCGCAACGAGCGCAACCCUUGCCAUUAGUUGCUACGAAAGGGCACUCUAAUGGGACUGCCGGUGACAAACCGGAGGAAGGUGGGGAUGACGUCAAGUCCUCGUGGCCCUUAUAGGUGGGGCUACACACGUCAUACAAUGGCCGGUACAGAGGGUAGCCAACCCGCGAGGGGGAGCCAAUCCCACAAAGCCGGUCGUAGUCCGGAUCGCAGUCUGCAACUCGACUGCGUGAAGUCGGAAUCGCUAGUAAUCGCGGAUCAGCAUGUCGCGGUGAAUACGUUCCCGGGUCUU
rnacentral:rRNA from 1 species